AAUCGAUAAGUUUCCAAAAAUCUAAAGAAACUAUGGAAAGUAAUCAGAAAAAAGACAUACCCUCCAACGCUGGUCCCGCAAAAUGGCCGAUCAAAUGAAGAGCAGAACGUGAUGAUGUAAAUCCCGAGGUUAAGUUUUCAAAUACAGCACCGAACUGUACUACUGCACACGAAUGUUGCGGGCUGCACACUUCAUCAAUGUAAAGACUAAUGUCCCAGUGACCCGGAUCAUUGUCAUCAGGAGGAUUGAGAGAAUUUGCAUAUUUGCAAAACGAAUUGAGCACUUCGUC